GGCACUGUGGCUUAGUUGGUUGAAGUACCUGUCUAGUAAACCUGAGAUCCUGGGUUCAAAUUGCAGCAUAGCCG